GCCUUCAAAAUGGCCUUCCGAAAGCUCCUGCCGAAGCCUUUUGGAUUUUUGUAAGUGACUGAAACAAAAAAUAACGCAAAUUAAAUGUUUUUAUUUUCCGUACAUAGAUUAACUAAACCAGGAUUGAACUCACAUCACGUACAUGGAACGCUGCGAUGUACAUGGAAGAUUACAUAUUCGUCACAACAAGCAUUGUCGGUGGCACCAAUCCGGAUGCUGAACAGCUGUUUUUUUCAGUGCUCGAAAAGAGAUAACAGCUAAGCUGAUCGAAGUUUUAACAGAUCUAGACUGUCGUUUUUGUCGACAGCAAAAAGACGGCGGAUAUUCGUCGCUGCAUUUUUCUGCAAUAACAACUUAUAAUCUACCAGCAUCCAUGGUGAUCGUCUUCAGAGUCAGCGUGAGCAAGCGCUUCGUGACUUCAAAAAUGGUAUUAGAAAUAUUCUAGUGGCGACUAAUGUUGCUGCCCGUGGUUUAGAUAUUGCCGGCGUAAACUAUGUCGUAAAUUAUGACUUGCCAACUGAUAUUGAAGAGUAUGUUCAUCGCGUUGUUCGAACGGGCCGCGUGGGAACCCGACCCGAAAACAAAGUAUUAAAAUUUAUAUAAGUUGAAGUGCAUAUUCUGGGCUCCCUUCUUUUCUGUGGCCCCGUUUCCCUUUGAUUUUUAAUAAGCCCGUAGGGGGUCAUGCCCCUACUGUGAUCAGCAGUAACGGUUGUGAGUGCGCUGUCCGGAAAGGGGACGUGGGGGUCCCCACGGUUCGAUGAUAUCAUUGGAGGGCUGUGGGGCUACCCAAAAAUCCGAAUUAACGGUUAAUCGCUCACGUAAAAGCUUGUCCGCAACCUUCGCUCUUCUUCCGGCUUCUCUUAGCCACGCACCGGGUAAUCUCCCCGGCGGGUCA